ensembl:lincRNA Gm14486 predicted gene 14486
AUCGGGGCCUUGGGGAGUAGACACUGCCAUCUUUUCCUGGGGGUCUGUGUUUCAAUCAAAGAGUCUCCUUGGAGACAGAAGCCCCAAGAAGCCACGGAGACUAGAGCCGCUGGAGGCCGUGGGUCCUGGGAGCUCAAGUGCAGCCCCGUGGUGAAAUUCAUCUAGCAAGCACUACUGUGAGCUUCCCCUAAAAAAGAGUUAACUGUGACCCCAGGAUCUCUAUGGUGGAUGCAUUGUCUUUGGACACCAGGCAGGCUCUCCUUCAGGGUUCUAUCUGGCAAAGGGACACGUGGAGAUGGGGACCAAGAGGAGGAGGCAUCCUGGACGUCACCAGGUGCCCCAUCCACGGCGAGGGAAGCCUGGACCCGGCUCUGCUGUCACUCAGAACAGGUCGGGGACUCCGGUGACCACGUCCCUGCCCGCUGCAUGCUUGGAAAGCACUGCCUUUGCCAGAAGCCGAGGCGAGAAGGCUCCCAAAGCAGACACCGACCCCCGAGUAGCACUGGUCUCCACGGGCCACCCCGGGAGCUGUAGGGCGAGGCCCACCCGCGCGCCGUACUGCGCAUGCGUCAGUCGGCUGAGCAGGAGGCCGCCCGCGCAGCCUCGCUCCCGUCCGGUCGCCGUGGCAACGGGCUCGCGGGGGG